rnacentral:rRNA from 1 species
UACGUAGGUCCCGAGCGUUGUCCGGAUUUAUUGGGCGUAAAGCGAGCGCAGGUGGUUUAUUAAGUCUGGUGUAAAAGGCAGUGGCUCAACCAUUGUAUGCAUUGGAAACUGGUAGACUUGGGUGCAGGAGAGGAGAGUGGAAUUCCAUGUGUAGCGGUGAAAUGCGUAGAUAUAUGGAGGAACACCGGUGGCGAAAGCGGCUCUCUGGCCUGUAACUGACACUGAGGCUCGAAAGCGUGGGGAGCAUACAGG